CCCUUAGAUGUUCUGGGCCGCACGCGCGCUACAAUGAUGAAUUCAACGAGUUUAUAACCUUGGUUGAAAAGCCUGGGUAAUCUUUUGAACUUUCGUCGUGAUGGGGCUAGACCCUUGCAAUUAUUGGUCUCCAACGAGGAAUUCCUAGUAAACGCAAGUCAUCAGCUUGCAUUGAUUACGUCCCGGCCCUUUGUACACACCGCCCGUCGCACCUACCGAUUGAAUGGUCCGGUGAAAUCUUCGGAUUGAGACUUUGAUUUCUUCACGGAAAACGCUGUUUUAAAAAGUUGAUUAAACCUUACCAUUUAGAGGAAGGUGAAGUCGUAACA
rnacentral:rRNA from 1 species